rnacentral:tRNA from 1 species
GCCCCUAUGGCACAGGGGUAAUGCGUGUCACUCGUAUAGUGAAAUACCUUGCGGUGUUAUGACAAGAUCCGCGGUUCGAUUCCGCGUGGGGGCA